UGAGUACGAGAUGCUACGGCAUCGAAGCAGUCUAUGUCAUACUUCCAAGAAAAGCUUGCACUGUCAGAAACAGAUAAUGCCUGUACCAUAACCGACACAGGUGGGUAGGUAGAGUAUACUAAGGGGCGCGAGAUAACUCUCUCUAAGGAACUCGGCAAAAUAACUCCGUAACUUCGGGAGAAGGAGUGCCUUAUUUUUAAGGUUGCAAUAACAAGAUCCAAGCAACUGUUUACCAAAAACACAGGUCUCCGCUAAGUCGUAAGACGAUGUAUGGGGGCUGACGCCUGCCCAGUGCCAGAAGGUUAAAGAAGUCGGUUAGCAUUCGCGAAGCUGGUAACUGAAGCCCUGGUGAACGGCGGCCGUAACUAUAACGGUCUUAAGGUAGCGAAAUUCCUUGUCGGGUAAGUUCCGACCCGCACGAAAGGCGUAAUGAUUUGGAUACUGUCUCGGAGAGGGGCUCGGUGAAAUAGACUUGUCUGUGAAGAUGCGGACUACCUGCACCUGGACAGAAAGACCCUAUGAAGCUUUACUGUAACUUGAAAUUGAAAUUGGACUUUAUUUGCGCAGUAUAGGUGGGAGGCGUUGAAAAUAUUCUUGCGGGAAUAUUGGAGCCAUCAGUGAGAUACCACUCUUGUAAUGUUAGAUUUCUAACUUUAUAUCAUUAUCUGGUUAAAGAACAGUUUCAGGCGGGCAGUUUGACUGGGGCGGUCGCCUCCCAAAUGGUAACGGAGGCGCACAAAGGUUUCCUCUGAACGGGUAGAAAUCGUAUCUAGAGUGUAAAGGCAUAAGGAAGCUUGACUGUGAGACCUACAAGUCGAGCAGGGACGAAAGUCGGUCUUAGUGAUCUGACGGUGCUGAGUGGAAAGGCCGUCACUCAACGGAUAAAAGUUACUCUAGGAUAACAGGCUGAUCUCCCCCAAGAGUUCACAUCGACGGGGAGGUUUGGCACCCCGAUGUCGGCUCAUCGCAUCCUGGGGCGGUAGUACGUCCCAAGGGUUGGGCUGUUCGCCCAUGAAAGCGGUACGCGAGCUGGGUUCAGAACGUCGUGAGACAGUUCGGUCCAUAUCCGGUGUAGGCGUUAGAAUAUUGAGAGGAGCCUUCUUUAGUACGAGAGGACCGAGAAGGACAUACCUCUGGUGUACCAGUUAUCGUGCCAACGGUAAACGCUGGGUAGCUAUGUAUGGAGUGGAUAACCGCUGAAAGCAUCUAAGUGGGAAGCCCACCUCAAGAUAAGUAUUCUCACC
rnacentral:rRNA from 1 species